rnacentral:rRNA from 1 species
UGGGGAAUAUUGCGCAAUGGGGGCAACCCUGACGCAGCCAUGCCGCGUGUGUGAAGAAGGCCUUAGGGUUGUAAAGCACUUUCAAUUGGGAGGAAAGGUUGUACGUUAAUAGCGUGCAGCUGUGACGUUACCUUUAGAAGAAGCACCGGCUAACUCCGUGCCAGCAGCCGCGGUAAUACGGAGGGUGCGAGCGUUAAUCGGAAUUACUGGGCGUAAAGCGCGCGUAGGCGGUUUGUUAAGUCGGAUGUGAAAGCCCCGGGCUCAACCUGGGAACUGCAUUCGAUACUGGCCGACUAGAGUACGAGAGAGGGAGGUAGAAUUCCACGUGUAGCGGUGAAAUGCGUAGAUAU